rnacentral:lncRNA from 1 species
UUAAUAUUUAAUAUUUAAAAAAUAUUAAAUGAUUUUUUUUUAGUUUUUAAUAAUUUUUUAAUAGAAAGUGGGUCCCGAAUCAAGCCAUGUCAGCAAUUAACUAAGAAAUUAACAGAAAAACUGACGGAGGUAUGACAUUGGCACAAAUUCGUAAGAUGAGGUAUGACAUUGUCAAUUUUAAAAGAUGAGGUAUGAAAGUGUCGUGACACUAAUAGUUGAGGUAGUUUUUUGUACUUUACCCAAAAAAAAAUUAUUGAUAGUUGCAUCACCUCUUCAGCAUGCCGUCAAAUUGUGGGCUCCAAAUAAUGGAAAUGCCCAUGUGUCCGAGAUUGACAUUUUUUGGCCAUUCUAGAAGUUGAAUUGAGCUUUACGCAUCCUUGCCAGAUCCUCUUUGUGAAGAUUUUAGAAAAUUUUCAAUCAAAUUCGCUCAUUGUAUAUUGUGUGGUCAAUUUUCGUCAGGUACUGUUUAUAUUUAAUUUUAAAUAAAAAAAUUUACAAUGAUUUCUGACCACACGAUGUACAAUUAGCGGAUGUGAUUUGAGGAUCCCUAGUUCAACAUCAGAAUUGCUUCAAGGGGAUUUCUUCUAUGAACUUUAAUUUGUUGACUUUUUUGUAUUUUAGGUAGGAUCCCUAAUUGAUUGUAAUUUCGUGUAUUCUCAUGUAAUCACUUGUAAUUAGUUCUCUUUCCAUUUAUGUUAGGGUUGUAAACCUAUAAGUACCUUUUAUUGAGAAGAAUAUAAUAUCAUUCAAAGCAUUCUCUUCUUG